rnacentral:rRNA from 1 species
UACGAAGGGGGCGAGCGUUGUUCGGAAUUACUGGGCGUAAAGGGCGCGUAGGCGGCCGUUCAAGUCAGAUGUGAAAGUCCUGGGCUUAACCUGGGGACUGCAUUUGAUACUGAUUGGCUUGAAUGCAGGAGAGGAUAGCGGAAUUCCCAGUGUAGAGGUGAAAUUCGUAGAUAUUGGGAAGAACACCGGUGGCGAAGGCGGCUAUCUGGACUGUGAUUGACGCUGAGGCGCGAAAGCGUGGGGAGCAAACAGG